GAACAGUCAGCUCAGAACUG
rnacentral:snRNA from 1 species